AAUAAAAAAAUAGUUUAUUCAGUAACUCUUUUAUCUUCAUUUUCGGCUACCCUAGUGUCUCAGUGGUAAUGAAUCUUCUUGCAAUGCAGGAGCCACAGGAGACGUGGAUUCAGUCCCAGGGUGGAGAAGAUCCCCUGGAGGAGGGUAUGGCAACCCACUCCAGUAUUCUUGCCUGGAGAAUCCCGUGGACAGAGGAGCCUGGUCGGCUAUAGUCCAUAGGCUUGCAAAGAGCUGGACAUGACUGAAGUGACUUAGCACAGCAAAGCACAAAGUAUACCUGUAUGAAGCUUAUCUUGAAAGACAUAUCUUUGCUAGGCCAGUUGAGGGCUUUCCUGGUGGCUCAGAUGUUAAAGAAUCUGCCUGCAAUGUGGGAGACCUGUGUUUGAUUCCUGGGUUGGGAAGAUCCCCUGGAGAAAGGCAUGGCAACCCACUCCAGUAUUUUUGCCUGGAGAAUCCCUAUGGACAGAGAAGCCUGGCAGGCUACAGUCCAUGGGGUCGCAAACAUUGGACUAGCACACACACAGGCCCGUUGAACCUUAUGACAUCUUUAGGUCUAACAGAAUCUAGGUCAUUAUGGGAAGCUAUUGUCAAUGGUCACUUGCUAUUCUGUGGUCUUACGCUUAGUUUUCACCAUGACUCAAUAGCAUGCUAGGAACCGAUUUCUAAAUAGAAUACAGUUCUCUACUGUAGAUGGCAUGACUUUGAUCCAGAACCUUGGAGUUCUUUGCUGCAGCUCUCCCACUGGGUGUUCCCAGAGACUCUACAUAAUGUUGAUUAUGUAGAUUAACAUAAAUUCCUUUAAAUUAUGGGUCUGAUGGGCUGUGUGGCCCAAGUGGCAGGACUAUUUGUAUGUCAGCCUCGAUUUACUGUAAAGCCCUCUUUUGAGUCACAUGAUAAGUGAGUUGAAACACUAUUCAUAAAGCCCUCCAGGUGCUAUGCUUCUAAGCAGUAGGAAGUGCAAAGCACAAUAACCUGUUCUUUAUCUUGAAAAGGAUAUUUUAGCAUACUGCUGGAGUUCUAAGCAAUUGACUGGUAAAUUGGGACUUUGUAGGACUUAAUGCCCAUUUUUAGGAGCUCAUGUAUGUUACUUGCCAUUUUCUUUGCCAUCACAGUACUUGCCUUUUUCUGCUUAUCAGUUCUAUUUGCCAUGUUGUUAUCAAUAAACUAGACCAAUGAGGAAGUCA
rnacentral:lncRNA from 1 species